AUUGAACGCUGGCGGCAGGCUUAACACAUGCAAGUCGAACGAUGACUCUCUAGCUUGCUAGAGAAGAUUAGUGGCGGACGGGUCAGUAACAUUUAGGAAUCUGCCUAGUAGUGGGGGAUAGCUCGGGGAAACUCGAAUUAAUACCGCAUACGACCUACGGGUGAAAGGGGGCGCAAGCUCUUGCUAUUAGAUGAGCCUAAAUCAGAUUAGCUAGUUGGUGGGGUAAAGGCCCACCAAGGCGACGAUCUGUAACUGGUCUGAGAGGAUGAUCAGUCACACCGGAACUGAGACACGGUCCGGACUCCUACGGGAGGCAGCAGUGGGGAAUAUUGGACAAUGGGGGCAACCCUGAUCCAGCCAUGCCGCGUGUGUGAAGAAGGCCUUUUGGUUGUAAAGCACUUUAAGCAGGGAGGAGAGGCUAAUGGUUAAUACCCAUUAGAUUAGACGUUACCUGCAGAAUAAGCACCGGCUAACUCUGUGCCAGCAGCCGCGGUAAUACAGAGGGUGCGAGCGUUAAUCGGAAUUACUGGGCGUAAAGCGAGUGUAGGUGGCUCAUUAAGUCACAUGUGAAAUCCCCGGGCUUAACCUGGGAACUGCAUGUGAUACUGGUGGUGCUAGAAUAUGUGAGAGGGAAGUAGAAUUCCAGGUGUAGCGGUGAAAUGCGUAGAGAUCUGGAGGAAUACCGAUGGCGAAGGCAGCUUCCUGGCAUAAUAUUGACACUGAGAUUCGAAAGCGUGGGUAGCAAACAGGAUUAGAUACCCUGGUAGUCCACGCCGUAAACGAUGUCUACUAGCCGUUGGGGUCCUUGAGACUUUAGUGGCGCAGUUAACGCGAUAAGUAGACCGCCUGGGGAGUACGGCCGCAAGGUUAAAACUCAAAUGAAUUGACGGGGGCCCGCACAAGCGGUGGAGCAUGUGGUUUAAUUCGAUGCAACGCGAAGAACCUUACCUGGUCUUGACAUAGUGAGAAUCUUUCAGAGAUGAGAGAGUGCCUUCGGGAAUUCACAUACAGGCGCUGCAUGGCUGUCGUCAGCUCGUGUCGUGAGAUGUUGGGUUAAGUCCCGCAACGAGCGCAACCCUUUUCCUUAUUUGCCAGCGGGUUAAGCCGGGAACUUUAAGGAUACUGCCAGUGACAAACUGGAGGAAGGCGGGGACGACGUCAAGUCAUCAUGGCCCUUACGACCAGGGCUACACACGUGCUACAAUGGUAGGUACAGAGGGUUGCUACACAGCGAUGUGAUGCUAAUCUCAAAAAGCCUAUCGUAGUCCGGAUUGGAGUCUGCAACUCGACUCCAUGAAGUCGGAAUCGCUAGUAAUCGCAGAUCAGAAUGCUGCGGUGAAUACGUUCCCGGGCCU
rnacentral:rRNA from 1 species